rnacentral:lncRNA from 1 species
CCUGAAGCACGUAGGAGAUGCAAGGGUAAAGCUCCGCAACCGCAGUGUUGCAGGAAACGGCUGCUUCACCAAAGUGCAAAGCAAGAACCAGGCACACGGCUAGUAAGAGAGAUCUCAUGUUACUUUCUGUUUUUUUUUUUUUUUUUUGUUUAAAUUGUUUGUUGUUGUGGUGUGUGUUGUGGUUAGGGUUAGAGAAUUGAGAGGUUAUUUAUACAUUGAAAGAGUUUGGGGUUGGCAGUUGAGGAGGAGUGAUUGCUAGGACACGAGUGUUAGUGUUAGUUGUGGAUGAAUUUAAUGUUUACCUUCAGCCAAUUAAAGAUCCAACCCUCCGGAGAUUCAAUUGCAUUCUUCUAUAUAUCUAACCAAUUUCUAAUAAAAAUAUACAUUUACGCAUUCGUAUCGUUUUUACCUAUCUAAAGUCAUAUUGCUUAAUCAAUUCAAAAGGCCUACUAAAUUAAAUACUGAUACCAACUAUAAUAAGACGUUGAGUAAUCACUAAUCCAUUAAGAGAAAAUUUGGCAUCUUAGAUCUAUCUAAAUACACAAACCAAUAACACCCCUUUGUUAUAGCCUAUCUAUCAAAAUUCAUCGGUAAUAUGUCUAUAAAAAGAAAAUGUCAUUACUCGUGACUCGUGAGGAUUAGAAUUUAACUCGAUUGACAUCGGAAUGUUUGUGAGUCUAAUUAUAGUUGAUAUAUAGUAUGCGAUUUCAUGCUAUUUUGAAAUGCUGAUAUGAUUGAUCUCCACCGGCCACCAAACCUGACCGACCAGGUUUUGAAAUGCUGGCCGUUUAAUACAUAAGCUUAUUUUUGAAUGUUUUAAAAAAUUCAAAUAUUUAAAAUAGCUUUUGACAAAUUAAUGACACUAUGCUCCUGUAUAAAUUUUGGAGACGGUGUAACUCCUUACUCCUAUAAAAAAACAUUGACGACGACAUAUUGAAACUAGUACUAGAUAGCGACAAUUCUAAGGCGAUGGAUACUGAGUCAUAUGGCAGGCAGCUCAUGGUGCAUUCAACUCUAGUUUGGUUCGUACGUUUUGUCUUUAAAAGUAGUUACAACAGCACAAAGACGAAGGAGCAUCUUCGAGAUAGUACUACGAGCUGUGGUGAAUUGAUUGUCAAUAAAACCGUUUUCGUUGGUUUCCAACACGUAAACUACUAAUACUUUUCUCUAUCUUGAGUAGC